UGAGUACGAGAUGCUACGGCAUCGAAGCAGUCUAUGUCAUACUUCCAAAAAAGCUUGCACUGUCAUAAACAAAGAAUGCCUGUACCAUAACCGACACAGGUGGGUAGGUAGAGUAUACUAAGGGGCGCGAGAUAACUCUCUCUAAGGAACUCGGCAAAAUGACUCCGUAACUUCGGGAGAAGGAGUGCCUUAUUUUUAAGGUUGCAAUAACAAGAUCCAAGCAACUGUUUACCAAAAACACAGGUCUCCGCUAAGUCGUAAGACGAUGUAUGGGGGCUGACGCCUGCCCAGUGCCAGAAGGUUAAAGAAGUUGGUUAGCAUUAGCGAAGCUGAUAACUGAAGCCCUGGUGAACGGCGGCCGUAACUAUAACGGUCCUAAGGUAGCGAAAUUCCUUGUCGGGUAAGUUCCGACCCGCACGAAAGGCGUAAUGAUUUGGAUACUGUCUCGGAGAGGGGCUCGGUGAAAUAGACUUGUCUGUGAAGAUGCGGACUACCUGCACCUGGACAGAAAGACCCUAUGAAGCUUUACUGUAACUUGAGAUUGAAAUUGGACUUUAUUUGCGCAGUAUAGGUGGGAGGCGUUGAGAAUAAUCUUGCGGGAUUGUUGGAGCCAUCAGUGAGAUACCACUCUUGUAAUGUUAGAUUUCUAACUUUGUAUCAUUAUCUGGUCAAAGAACAGUUUCAGGCGGGCAGUUUGACUGGGGCGGUCGCCUCCCAAAGGGUAACGGAGGCGCACAAAGGUUUCCUCUGAACGGGUAGAAAUCGUAUCUAGAGUGUAAAGGCAUAAGGAAGCUUGACUGUGAGACCUACAAGUCGAGCAGGGACGAAAGUCGGUCUUAGUGAUCUGACGGUGCUGAGUGGAAAGGCCGUCACUCAACGGAUAAAAGUUACUCUAGGAUAACAGGCUGAUCUCCCCCAAGAGUUCACAUCGACGGGGAGGUUUGGCACCUCGAUGUCGGCUCAUCGCAUCCUGGGGCGGUAGUCCGUCCCAAGGGUUGGGCUGUUCGCCCAUGAAAGCGGUACGCGAGCUGGGUUCAGAACGUCGUGAGACAGUUCGGUCCAUAUCCGGUGUAGGCGUUAGAAUAUUGAGAGGAGCCUUCUCUAGUACGAGAGGACCGAGAAGGACAUACCUCUGGUGUACCAGUUAUCGUGCCAACGGUAAACGCUGGGUAGCUAUGUAUGGAGUGGAUAACCGCUGAAAGCAUCUAAGUGGGAAGCCCACCUCAAGAUAAGUAUUCUC
rnacentral:rRNA from 1 species